rnacentral:rRNA from 1 species
UACAGAGGUCCCAAGCGUUGUUCGGAUUUAUUGGGCGUAAAGGGUGCGUAGGCGGCGGAGUAAGUUGGGUGUGAAAUCCCGGGGCUCAACCUCGGAAUUGCAUUCAAUACUGCUUCGCUAGAGUACUGGAGAGGAGGCUGGAAUUUACGGUGUAGCAGUGAAAUGCGUAGAUAUCGUAAGGAAGGCCGGUGGCGAAAGCGAGCCUCUGGACAGUUACUGACGCUGAUGCACGAAGGCCAGGGGGAGCAAACGGG